GAGUUUGAUCCUGGCUCAGGAUGAACGCUGGCGGUAUGCUUAACACAUGCAAGUCGAACGAAGAUUUUUACCUUUGGUGGCGAGGGGCUGCGCAUUACGUGAUAUGCCCCCCUUAGGAGAAUAAUAUUUGCAGAAAACGGCUGCUUCCCCUUAUUAUGAGAAGAGGAGAAAUUUUUUUAACUGCGAAGAGAUCACCUCUGACCUGAUUGUCUGUAAGGUAAGGUAAUGGCUUACCAAGGCCAUGAUCAGUAGCUGGUUUGAGAGAACGAUCAGCCACACUGGGACUGAGACACGGCCCAGACUCCUCCGGGAGGCAGCAGUGAGGAAUUUUCCGCAAUGGGCGAAAGCCUGACGGAGCAAUACCGCAUGAGGGAUGAAGGAUUUUGGUCUGUAAACCUCUUUUCUCAAGAAAGAAGUUCUGACGGUACUUGAGGAAUAAGCAUCGGCUAACUCCGUGCCAGCAGCCGCGGUAAUACGGGGGAUGCAAGCGUUAUCCGGAAUCAUUGGGCGUAAAGCGCCUGUAGGUGGUUUAAUAAGUCUGUUGUUAAAGAUUAGGGCUCAACCCUAGAAAAGCAAUGGAAACUAUUAGGCUAGAGUAUGGCAGGGGUAGAGGGAAUUUCUAGUGUAGCGGUGAAAUGCGUAGAUAUUAGAAAGAACACCAGUGGCGAAAGCGCUCUACUGGACCAUUACUGACACUCAGAGACGAAAGCUAGGGAGCAAAAGGGAUUAGAUACCCCUGUAGUCCUAGCCGUAAACGAUGGAUACUAGAUGAGAUAUUUAUUUUACAGUACAGUAUCUAAGGCGUUAAGUAUAAGUAUCUGGGGAGUACGCUCGCAAGGGUGAAACUCAAAGGAAAGGAAUGGACCCGCACAAGCACAAGCAGCAUGUGCAUUAAUUUUAAGCAACGCGAAGAACCUUAACAGGGCUUGACAUUGACAGAAUCUUUUUGAAAGAAGAGAGGACGUUUGGGAAUGCAGAUACAGAUGCAGCAUGGCCAUGGUCAGCGUCAGUCGUGAGAUGGAGAGUUAAGUCUAACAACGAGCGCAACCGCAACCUUUAGUUUCCAACUUGUUGGGUUUUUUAGAAAGACUGCCGGGGACAAACCGGAGGAAGGUGAGGAAGACGUCAAGUCAGCAUGCCCCCUAUGUCCUGGGGUACACACGUGGUACAAAGGUUAGGACAAAGAGUUGGGAGUUCGCGAGGACCAGCUAAUCUCAUAAACCUAGCCUAAGUUCAGAUUGUAGGCUGCAACUCGCCUACAUGAAGUUGGAAUCGCUAGUAAUCCCUGGUCAGCCAUACAGCGGUGAAUCCGUUCCCGGGCCUUGUACACACCGCCCGUCACCCCAUGGGAGAUGGUCAUACCCGAAACCGUUAGCUAACCCAUUCGGAGGGGGGCGUCUAAGGUAGGAUUAGUGACUGGGGUGAAGUCGUAACAAGGUAACC
rnacentral:rRNA from 1 species